CCUACGGGAGGCAGCAGUGAGGAAUAUUGGUCAAUGGACGAGAGUCUGAACCAGCCAAGUAGCGUGAAGGAUGACUGCCCUAUGGGUUGUAAACUUCUUUUAUAUGGGAAUAAAAUGUUCCAUGUGUGGGAUUUUGUAUGUACCAUAUGAAUAAGGAUCGGCUAACUCCGUGCCAGCAGCCGCGGUAAUACGGAGGAUCCGAGCGUUAUCCGGAUUUAUUGGGUUUAAAGGGAGCGUAGGUGGGUUGUUAAGUCAGUUGUGAAAGUUUGCGGCUCAACCGUAAAAUUGCAGUUGAAACUGGCAGUCUUGAGUACAGUAGAGGUGGGCGGAAUUCGUGGUGUAGCGGUGAAAUGCUUAGAUAUCACGAAGAACUCCGAUUGCGAAGGCAGUUCACUGGACUGCAACUGACACUGAGGCUCGAAAGUGUGGGUAUCAAACAGGAUUAGAUACCCGAGUAGUC
rnacentral:rRNA from 1 species